rnacentral:rRNA from 1 species
CCUACGGGGGGCAGCAGUGAGGAAUAUUGGUCAAUGGACGCAAGUCUGAACCAGCCAUGCCGCGUGCAGGAAGACGGCUCUAUGAGUUGUAAACUGCUUUUGUACGAGGGUAAAUCCCGAUACGUGUAUCGGGUUGAAAGUAUCGUACGAAUAAGCAUCGGCUAACUCCGUGCCAGCAGCCGCGGUAAUACGGAGGAUUCAAGCGUUAUCCGGAUUUAUUGGGUUUAAAGGGUGCGUAGGCGGUUCGAUAAGUUAGCGGUGAAAGCCCGGGGCUCAACGCCGGCACUGCCUCUGAUACUGUCGGGCUAGAGUUGAGUUGCGGUAGGCGGAAUGUAUGGUGUAGCGGUGAAAUGCAUAGAGAUCAUACAGAACACCGAUUGCGAAGGCAGCUUACCAAACUACGACUGACGUUGAGGCACGAAAGCGUGGGGAGCAAACAGGAUUAGAUACCCGGGUAGUC